rnacentral:rRNA from 1 species
UACGUAGGGUCCGAGCGUUUGUCCGGAAUUACUGGGCGUAAAGAGCUCGUAGGUGGUUUGUCGCGUUGUUCGUGAAAACUCACAGCUCAACUGUGGGCGUGCGGGCGAUACGGGCAGACUUGAGUACUGCAGGGGAGACUGGAAUUCCUGGUGUAGCGGUGGAAUGCGCAGAUAUCAGGAGGAACACCGGUGGCGAAGGCGGAUCUCUGGGCCAUUACUGACGCUGGAGGAGCGAAAAGCGUGGGGAGCGAACAGG